CGCGGCCUAUCAGCUUGUUGGUGGGGUAACGGCCUACCAAGGCAUCGACGGGUAGCUGGUCUGAGAGGACGAUCAGCCACACUGGGACUGAGAUACGGCCCAGACUCCUACGGGAGGCAGCAGCAGGGAAUCUUGCGCAAUGGGCGAAAGCCUGACGCAGCAACGCCGCGUGGGGGAUGACGGCCUUCGGGUUGUAAACCCCUUUCAGGAGGGAAGAAAUUGACGGUACCUCCAGAAGAAGCCCCGGCCAACUACGUGCCAGCAGCCGCGGUAAUACGUAGGGGGCGAGCGUUGUCCGGAAUUAUUGGGCGUAAAGAGCUCGUAGGCGGCUCAGCAAGUCGGCUGUGAAAUCCCGAGGCUCAACCUCGGAACUGCAGUCGAUACUGUUGUGGCUAGAGUCUGGUAGAGGAGAAUGGAAUUCCCGGUGUAGCGGUGAAAUGCGCAGAUAUCGGGAGGAACACCAGUAGCGAAGGCGGUUCUCUGGGCCAGUACUGACGCUGAGGAGCGAAAGCGUGGGGAGCAAACAGGAUUAGAUACCCUGGUAGUCCACGCCGUAAACGUUGGGUACUAGGUGUGGCGUCCCGAUCAACGGAUGCCGUGCCGAAGCUAACGCAUUAAGUACCCCGCCUGGGGAGUACGG
rnacentral:rRNA from 1 species